AUUUUUCCUUUCAAAAGGAUCAUUUUGUAAGAGUAUUUAUACCCUUACAGAACGCUUGUUCCAGAAAUAGAUCUAGAACUCAAAAUAGAAACACCAAUUCCAAGAUGAAGAGCUGAGUUGGAAAAGAAGAAAAGAACAAGAAAGGGGAAGCUUUGGACUUGUACUAACUGCGAGAGAAAGAAGAGGAUGAAGGGAAGUAGAGGAUCAAAAGAAGAGAAGGGAUAGGUUGGGGUUAUAAAAAACUGGGAGGUGCAGGAUGCAAUAAGGGAGGUGCAGAACUUAAUUUCCAUUAAAAUUUAAUCAGUCAUGUCGACUUAGUUGGGUUGCAAUAAAGUGGCAAAAUAAAACUUCAGGCUUUUACUAUUUACACUCCCUUUUUACUAAUACACUCAAUAUUCUCAUUUUUAUCCCUAAAAUAUCCCACCAAACACACUCCUGUCAUCUUUCUCCCUCUCAUGUAAUUAUUCUAUUCUGGAAAAAUCAGUAUUCACUAUUCAGUACCAUAUGGCCAGUGGCCACUACUAUGGAGACUGUCAUUGGAUAGGGUCGUUGAUAGGAGUUGCUUCACUUUGUAUGGAUGAUGGAUUUGUGUUUCGUGUAUCACCAGGAAGUCAGGAAGCAAUCGUCAGGCCACCCUAAUUAUGCUAGGAUAAU
rnacentral:lncRNA from 1 species